GCCGGGAGUGGUGGGGUACUCCUAUAAUCCCAACUACUUGGAGGGAAGGUGUAGAGGAUGUUUUAACGACGGGAAUUCUGGAUUUUCCGCGUUGAUUAGGCGUCGUUCGCUAGGGAUAAAUCUUCAACUUG
rnacentral:SRP_RNA from 1 species